UACAGAGGUCUCAAGCGUUGCUCGGAAUCACUGGGCGUAAAGGGUGCGUAGGCGGGUUUUUAAGUCAGGGGUGAAAUCCUGGAGCUCAACUCCAGAACUGCCUUUGAUACUGAAGAUCUUGAGUCCGGGAGAGGUGAGUGGAACUGCGAGUGUAGAGGUGAAAUUCGUAGAUAUUCGCAAGAACACCAGUGGCGAAGGCGGCUCACUGGCCCGGUACUGACGCUGAGGCACGAAAGCGUGGGGAGCAAACAGG
rnacentral:rRNA from 1 species